rnacentral:rRNA from 1 species
UACAGAGGUCCCAAGCGUUGUUCGGAUUCACUGGGCGUAAAGCGUGCGUAGGCGGAUACCUAAGUCGAAUGUGAAAUCCCCGGGCUUAACCUGGGAACUGCAUCCGAUACUGGGUAUCUGGAGUAUGGUAGAGGAAAGUGGAAUUCCCGGUGUAGCGGUGAAAUGCGCAGAUAUCAGGAGGAACACCGGUGGCGAAGGCGGGUCUCUGGGCCGAUACUGACGCUGAGGAGCGAAAGCGUGGGGAGCGAACAGG